rnacentral:rRNA from 1 species
CACGUAGGGUGCGAGCGUUGUCCGGAAUUAUUGGGCGUAAAGAGCUCGUAGGCGGUGUGUCGCGUCGGCCGUGAAAACCUGCAGCUUAACUGUGGGCUUGCGGUCGAUACGGGCAUCACUGGAGUUCGGCAGGGGAGACUGGAAUUCCUGGUGUAGCGGUGAAAUGCGCAGAUAUCAGGAGGAACACCGGUGGCGAAGGCGGGUCUCUGGGCCGAUACUGACGCUGAGGAGCGAAAGCGUGGGGGAGC